UGAUUGUCCAAACGCAAUUCUUGUGACAUUUGACAGCAGCAGUCAAGAAUUGCGGGGGGACAUCUCU
rnacentral:pre_miRNA from 1 species